rnacentral:misc_RNA from 1 species
GUCUGCUCUCCUUGGGACCUUUUGGUUAGUAUUUGCAUCUGUAUGAUGUGAUUGAAUGCCAAUCACCUUUAUAUUGAGCUAUGUUAUCACAAAAUUACUUACGGCUUUUGCAUCUAUGUACUGUCAGACAGAAAUGGUUUGCACAACAGUAUUGUUGUUUUGAUAUGCAUCUCUUGAUUCUUUUCACUUUUUAAGGGCUGAAAUCUUGCAUAUAAGCAUAAUAAGAUCUUUUCAUCUCGUACCCAAACAAUAAAGUCAUAUAUUGCAAGUUGAAUAUAUGAAAGGCUGAUUGUGAUUUGUGAUGUAGUAGGUUCCCAUUCCCAAUAUCCAUUUCAAUGAUUGUUAAAGGGAGUGGAAAAGGCUAGCCUUUCGCGCCAAGAAAAAAAAAUAUUUAUCUGUGUUUCCUUCCCUUGGUCUCCUACACAAAAAUGCAUGAGCAUGAUGAAAAAUGUAUAAGUUGGUAAGAUGAUUUGGCUUAGUUGUGGCUGUGAGCUCAAGCUUAGCAAUGUCAAAAACAAGGUUGAGCUUAAAGCAAUGCAUCGCAAGUAGCAUUCUAGGCAACUCACUAACAAUGCCUGAGCCUGAUUGGCCUGGAAUUAUGUGAAGUUGAUCUGAGCUUUGUUAUUUCUAUUUCUUAAAUUAUCAACUAAACUUAUCUUUUUAUUUUAUUUUUUUAUUAUAAUUUUAUGUGAAGAGUAUGCAUAAGAUCGUAAAACUUUAUUUUGUUCUUAUUAGGAUUAGGCUUUCCUGUCUUUCAUUCUUUUAGUUCCUAUCGGAAGUUUCCCUGAUUAGGCUCUAGUUAUCACGACACUAUCGAUUGAUUAACAAGAAUUAAGUUUUCAGAAAAUUGGUUCUGUGUUUUUCUUUAUCUUUACUUGGUUCUACAUCACUGUUUUUGGGGAGUAACUGCUGUGAAAAUGUUUAAUCAUAAGCAAUCUAGAUGAGCAAAUCAGAAACUCAGCACAUUCCUUCCUUAUUGAAAUAAUGGGACCUUUCAUUUUUUUUUUUUUUUCAGUGUUUCAUUAGAUAUAGCGAUUUACCAAGGAUUUUGGAUAUGGAGGUUUUCCGCAUCAAGUUGGGGAAAUUUUAUCACCUUGCAUUGUGAAAUGCAUAAAACCAGAAACAUGUGAUCGCAAUAAAUUAAGAAAAGUUAUUAUAUAAAUCCAGAGUCAAAAGAAAAAUAUUACAAGUGUUGAAUUUUUGAGAGACGGGACAUCUCCGCAGACCUUGGGUAGAGUGUUAUAUAGGCGCAUACGGUGCUCCAUGGUGAAGGAAACUGCUGUCAUCGCUUAACCAUAUGCUUUCCACAGGUGCAUUCCCUUGUAGGACUUUAACAAUCUGGCUCAUUCUUGGGCGAUAAUCUGCAGGUUUAUAUACACAAGAGGCAGAACAGUAAAUCAUUCUAAUUAUUUCAUCUUUAUUAUAUUUGUUUUGCAAUUCGGCAUCAAUAAUGUCAUUAUAAUCGCCUUUGUCCAAAGCUCGUUUCAGUAAAGGCACUGCCAAAAUAGACAAUCUAUUGUGAAAAAUGCCUUCAUUCUUAAUAGCUCUUUUCCCAGUAAUCAAUUCCAGAAGUAUAAUACCGAAGGAAAAGACAUCGCACUUAUCAGUAAGCUUCCUACUAUUGAUAUACUCAGGAGCCAAAUAACCCAAAGAUCCUUUUGAAUUAUAGAUAAUAGGAAUAUAAGAAUUUGAAAGCUCCUCAUUCUCUUUGGCAAAUCCAUAAUCUGAAAUCUUUGGUUCGAAGCUAUUAGUAAGAAGAAUGUUAUCCACUUUAAUAUUUCCAUGUAUGAUCUUAGGCUGACCUAAAAUACAUAUAUCACAAAAGUAAACUGAGAGUAAGUGAUCAAUUCUUUAAAAAAGAAAAAAAAGAAUCUAACUUAUUAAGUAGCUAAAUACUCACACCAUUCAUGCAAAUAUGUCAAUCCUUUUGCGACACCCAUGGCGAUUCUCAUUCUAGUUGACCAAUCCAUAGUCAUCCUGUUAUUUCCAUGCAAAUGAAAUCCCAAGGAUUUGUUGGGAACAAACUCAUAAACAACCAAUCUAUUGAAUUCUUCGAUGCAGUAUCCAAUCAGCUUGACAAGAUUUCGAUGACAGAUGUGGCUAAUGUCCAUAAUCACUUUCUCAAAUUCACUACUUUUGCUCUGCUCUUCACCUACAUGUUUAAGCUUCUUAAUUGCAAC